rnacentral:rRNA from 1 species
AUUGAACGCUGGCGGCAGGCCUAACACAUGCAAGUCGAGCGGAUGAAGGGAGCUUGCUCCUGGAUUCAGCGGCGGACGGGUGAGUAAUGCCUGGGAAUCUGCCUGGUAGUGGGGGAUAACGUCCGGAAACGGGCGCUAAUACCGCAUACGUCCUGAGGGAGAAAGUGGGGGAUCUUCGGACCUCACGCUAUCAGAUGAGCCUAGGUCGGAUUAGCUAGUUGGUGGGGUAAAGGCCUACCAAGGCGACGAUCCGUAACUGGUCCGAGAGGAUGAUCAGUCACACUGGAACUGAGACACGGUCCAGACUCCUACGGGAGGCAGCAGUGGGGAAUAUUGGACAAUGGGCGAAAGCCUGAUCCAGCCAUGCCGCGUGUGUGAAGAAGGUCUUCGGAUUGUAAAGCACUUUAAGUUGGGAGGAAGGGCAGUAAGUUAAUACCUUGCUGUUUUGACGUUACCAACAGAAUAAGCACCGGCUAACUUCGUG